CGCCCAUGUGAAAGGUGAGAGGAGCCCCGAUCUGAACAUGGGAAGCCAGAUUUGAAAUUCUUUUUUUUGCCUUUCGUGGAUUCAUGGAUUCGAAGGUAAAUUGAUGAGCCUUGCAGAUGCAUCAUAUGGUUCGUGGAUUCAGUGAUUCCGUGAUUGGUGUGACACUGAUUUGUUUGGUGACAAUCAUCCAACAGAAAUGGACACCAUGCCUCAACUAGCCACUGCCGCAUCCAAGAGGAAACCCUCCCCGGCGGCAGCGACGCAAGACGCGGAAGGAAGCGGUGGACGCACGAGUGGCUGUACGAGGCGAGGCCAGUGAUGGAUAGGUGCCAGCACACCGUUCAUCCUCUUUUAGUUGUUCUAUGAUGUUAUACGUAGAUUAUACACAUUGCGUUCUAGCUGAUUACUUCGCACACAUGCAACGAUCUGAAGGUAUAUGCAUAUUUAUGUUUCUCAGAGUUAUGUUACCCAAUCCAUAGUAUUACUCAUAAGAGGGAACUUUCUGAUGAAACUACAACUAAACACUACAGAGUCUUUAGAAGAUUAGGCACAAUCAAGACUUGUGGUCAAGGUGGUGAUGUUUGAGUUGCAGCUUGGUAGUUUUUUCCAUUCGCACAAGAAUCAUAGAUGGUAGCAUAUAUUAAAGCUUUAACCAGUUGGUUUCAUGGGUAAUUGACCAUAAUAUCCUCUGUUCCAAAUUUUUGUCUGUUGUCCAUAUUUUGAAUGAUAUAAGUAGGAUGAUUGACCUUACUUACAUAUGUAUCAAUAGUCAUGUAUCAUUCUAAAGUAUUGUUGUCAGCAGAAUCAUCUAUAGUCGUUUUGUUGAUCCUUUUAAGACAGUCGGUAUG